rnacentral:rRNA from 1 species
UACGUAGGGGGCAAGCGUUGUCCGGAAUCAUUGGGCGUAAAGCGCGCGUAGGCGGCCCUGUAAGUCCGUUGUGAAAGUCAAAGGCUCAACCUUUGAAAGCCGAUGGAUACUGCAGGGCUAGAGUCCGGAAGAGGCGAGUGGAACUCCUGGUGUAGCGGUGGAAUGCGCAGAUAUCAGGAAGAACACCAACGGCGAAGGCAGCUCGCUGGGACGGAACUGACGCUAAGGCGCGAAAGCGUGGGGAGCGAACAGG